AGAAGGAUAUUGAUACCUUAGAGAGGGUUCAGAGAAGGGCUACUAAACUGGUUCAUGGAUUGCGGGAUAAAACUUACCAGGAAAGGUUAAAGGACCUUAACAUGUAUAGCUUGGAGGAAAGACGAGACGGGGGGAUAUGAUAGAAACAUUUAAAUAUAUAAAGGGAAUCAACACAGUAAAGGGGGAGACUAUAUUUAAAAGAAGAAAAACUACUAC